GAGAGAGAGAGAGAGAGAGACAGAACAAAACAACGAAGAGACUAGUAUUGCUUGCAAGGCUAUAGGGAAGAGGGUUCUUGGAGGAAAUAGCCCUGAUGGCCUGUGUUUCUACGAAGCUGGAAUAAAGAUCACAGGAAAGACGCCAUGGAGAGGGGACAUCAACAUAUUGACAAAUGUCAAAACCCUUCCUCUCCACACACUCUUCUUCUUCUUUAAUGACUGAAUCGUUGGGCUGCAACAACCCCAGUUUUUCUCUCACCUUUAUUUCCCUGCUUGAAGCUUCAGGCAUGCAUACACAUUGCAACGCAUUUUUGUUACAGUUGGACAAUUAAACAAACCAAUCAUUACCUCUUUCUCAGCAGAGACAUUUUAACCACAAUGAAUCUCCAGAAAAGGAAUAGAAAAUGCUGUUGCCCUUUUCAACAGGAGAGAGAGAGAGAGAAAGGGGAAGCCAUGUGUUUCACAGGAAUGCUUUCCUUCUAACCUCUGUCCUUGCUAUAAUCAUGGGAUAUUAGAGCCAGAGCUCAUAGCAGAAUCCUGAGACUUUAUGUCUUUACCAACAGGAGUUCCAUCUAUACUACUGUUUUCUCCCUGAAAUAUUUGUUUGUGUAGAUAAGAAAUAACUGCAAAUGUACAAUUUACCAACAAAGCUUCUGCCUUCAUUACAGCCCAGCUCCCUCAUUCAUCGUGUCUAAAUGCAAAUUAAAAGUUGGCUAAUGGAUCUGUUAAGUCUAUUUCUCUAUAGAGUAUAGAUUGUGAAGAAGUAAGAGAAAAGGUAGAAAAGAAGAAAGCCACAAGUUGCCAACCUAAGAGAAACUUUUAUAGCAAGUACUAUAAAAAAAGGUCUGUAUAUGCAUAGCUUCCACAGCAAUAAAAAAGGUUGAAAAACUGAUUUACUGAUUUCACAUUCAUAUGCAAACAAUCCCAAUCUGGGAAUACACAAUGAUUCUUCAUCUUUCAAUCAUUUAGUUUGUGUGCAUGUAUGUUGUGGCAGCUAUGACAAAAACAUUAAUGUACAUUUCCCUUCUACAUCCACUACUACCAAUUGAAGUAAUCUUCCCUCUUCUAGAAGCAUUAAGAUUAGAACUGAAAACAAAAAUGUUGCCACCUUGGCCGGUACAUUUCCACCUGUCAAACCCUUGCAAAGAAAUACAAUGAAAGCUAUCACAUGUAGUCCACUUCCAAUGCUUUACAAAACAAGAGUACCUCUUUUUCAGAGGUAUGCCAAUCUGAUAAGCAUAAGUAACGGGUUAAAGAAAGCGAAAACCCUGAACACUGCAGAUGGAGACAAAGUUUCAGCUUGCAUGGACCUGACCAAUUAAGAGGACAGCCUUCCCUAAAAUGCUAAGAGAUACGGAAGCACUUUUUGUUUUCGGUUUCUCUACUAUAAGCUGUAUAAGUCCGGAUCUUUUCUAACUUUUGUAUUUUCCUAAUAUCAUGAUUUUUCUAUUGUAUUAAUUAACGAAUUUGAACCUAGUGUUUUGGUGUUACCGUGAGGCUUUAUUGUCUAAUUGAUUACCACGUUACAAAGGGAAUUUCUUUUCUAAUUGCUUGUCAUAUUUUUUCAGUUCUCACAGAUUUUAGAUUAGCGAUAACAUAAAGUUGAAGGUUAGGCAGUCCUUGAAAGGUGUCAUAGGAACAAGAAAAAUUCACCAUAAGAACAGACGAAGAUUUUCUCACAUCAAAAUUUAAGAACUUUGAGGAGUGCACAUGGUUAAGCUGUGUCCUUAAUGUUGGAAGUUCAAAAACAAAGUAAGAAGAGAUUAACAACAUGCAUCAAAAGAAGGGGGAAAAGUGACAAAGAACUAAGGGAAUGGAACCAAAAUUGUCAUGGAAAAACACCAAGAUAUGACUAUAAGAAACCAACAUCCAAAAUGAUAUGAAAUGAACUCACAUAGCUACUAUUGUGUUCUGCAUUGUUGAUGUAAACUUACAACUUUGCUAUGAAGUACCUAGCUUUUUAGAUUUCUUGGCGCCAACAUACAUCUCCAAUAAACCUGGGACUUCAUCUGCAUACCUAUUAACAUAAUUCGUAAGGAAUUUCUUCUCAGAUAUUGUGAACAACCAUCCAAUUUUCCUGUUCCCUUCAAUCGGUUCCUUUGACUCCAAAACCUUCAAAACAUCAUACCUUGGACGAAGCCUUUUGUCAACUGCAUACAUAAGAAACUUGGGAUACGCAAUUAUAGUAUGCGGUUCCAACUUCAUAGUGUUCAUGUAGAAAUCCAUCACAUUCUUGAUUUUCUCCUCUGAGCAAGCUAAGCAAAGCGGUUCUCGCACAAAAGCCGACAAAAUCUCUUCUUCACUCCAUCCAAAACUCUUCAUCAGCUCAAUUUUCUUCUUCCAAGUAUACUCACUCAUUGAUAUCAUCACUCUAACAGCAUGUACAAACAUUCGAGACGUCGGAUGAAGGCCCAGAUUUUUAACAGAAUUCACUGCAUAAACCAUCCUAUCAUGCUUUUGCAUUAUAGCUCUUCGCUGCAAAAUAACAAAUUUUUCUGGACUAUCAGGAGGCACACCCUCUUUUCUUGAGAAAUCCAUAUUUGGUUACAAUGUACCCUUCAAAUCAAACGUCAGCAACCAUGAAUAACGCUUAAUAGCAGCUACAAUUUUAUCAUUACUAUCAAUAGCAGACCUCACCAACUCAAAAGUUGGUUUGAUGUGAGAAUCCCUUCUCAAAAUUACCGGAUUUGACACGAUAAGCUCAGGCAGAAGUUCACCCACAAAAACAUUUCUUCACGAGGUACUCGAAUUUGGAUUGGAGAUCGUCUUUUGCUUUCAAUAGAGGACUGUGGGCUGCUUUGCAAUCAAAUUGGCCAAAUAGGUAUUGCUGAAGUUGUGAGCUUUCUUAGAAAUCUAUAUAGAUUAAGCCCUCUGUUGGUUAUUUUUGUCGAACUGAAAUUUCCGGGAGGCUGAAAGAGCACAUUAUAAGGGAAGCCCACAUGAAUUCACGAGGCAUUGAACCGUAAAUGACGAUGACGAAGGUUGACCGGCAAUGGAGAAGUGGAAAAGGGUGUUGCAGAUGCAAGCAGAAAACGUAUUUGUAUCCGAGAAAGAAAGUUUCUGAUAAGGGUAUUGGCCAUUCUGGAAGCAAAGUGCCUUUAGAACAAGAAUACGAAGACCAUAUUUAGAAUGGACAAUGCCCAGCUUUGGUAUUUCGAUUCAAAGGGAGAUGUCUGCGAGGGUUUCCUGAUGCAGAGAAAUGGGCCGAGUUUUGCUAGAGUAAUCGAAAAUCCGUCACCGGAAUAUCUGUUUUUAUUUAAAAAAGGCAUUUUUUUAUAUAAAAAUAUUAAUUUAUAAUUUGUAAUUUUCUUAAUUUUUUUUAAUGAGUUUAUUUUUUCACUUCCUUCUUGUCGUCCCCGAUCUUAAUUUUGAUAGCUUGCGUUUCUGUGAACGUGGAAGAAAGGUCACAGAAAAGACGCCAUGGAGAGGGCACAUCAAUAUCGUCACCAACACCGAAGCCGAAACUCUUCAUCCUCUCAUUCUUCUUCUUCUUCUUCUUCAGUUUUCUCAUCAUCGUCGUUUUGCCCAUCUAUAUUGCCGUUUUCAUGACUACGUUGUUGAUGAUGAUUUUCCACUAGUGGCUCCAGCAAUUGAAGAGGAACCGAUGAGACAGGGAGAGAAGGGUCGCGGAAGCUGGAAUCGAGCUGGAGAGAGAUGGAAUCGUCGGCGAUUUGAGCACGGUGGGAGGUCGUCGUGCUUGAUGCAAACCCUAGAGAUAGGUCAGACUCCAUAGCAGAAUAAAUAUAUAAGAAGGUGAAUUUUUCUUAGGGAUUAAGGUUGGGAACAACGGUAGCAACAGAAGAAACAGCGACAAGAGGGCUUGAAGAGCUUGCAAUAGCAGUAGCGGAACAUAGAAGGUGAAGAUGAAGGAACACAAACUUGCAUAGAAACUGUAAACAAGCAAGCCCUAGAAACGGAGCAUUUGCAGAGAGGAAAGUGUGGAAAGGAAAGGCAAGGAAAGAAUGAAGGAGGAAGGCAGAGGUCUAGAGAUGGAAACAACAAACAAGCUGAAUCUAUGGACUGGACCUCUUAUUAGGCUACAAGGCCCUGAAAUGCUAUGGGCUCAGAAACCUGAAAUAAGAAAAGGUCCAAUCCCUCGAAGCUUCGUUCACUGAAACUGCCCCCCAGCCGCCACGAGAGGAGCAAGAACCAAAAAAUCAGGCUUUUUCUUUUACUUCGCUCGCCGGACAGCCACAAGACAGUGCCGUCACUUCGCCUUGGGCCGUAUACAUUGUGCUUGCUGGCUUUCGUUGAUCAUUAAAAAGGAGAAUGAUUUCGAAUUUUACAGUUUUUACAAGGUAUUGGCAAUGCUAUUUUCCUUUUCUGUGCUUCAGAACCUGACGAUAUUCUAUAUGUAUAUCUUGAACACCACGUCUUUGAGAAAUUGACUGUAUGAAAUGGAUUGUGUUUUAGUGCAGUGAAAGAAUUAGCAAUGAGUACGGAGACGCAGAAGAAACCACCCGGACCUCCUCCAAUUGUCAGAUUGGACAAGGCACUGAAUUUGGUAAAUCAGUAUCUUUGUUUUCUUAGAUGUAAUUUGUUUUGCUUCCCCUUGUGAAAAUAACGGAUAAAUGGAUUUUCUUUAAAUGGGUUUUCUUUCUAUUUUCUUUUUCCUGUUUUUGAUGCUUGAUAUUACUGAUGUGCAGGCUGAACAAUGGGUUAAUACUAUGACUAAAGUGGUAGAGGAGAAAACAAUAGAAGUGGAACCAGAGGGCUGUCCUUACAAUUUAGUUUAGCAUUUUUUCAAAUUUCCAUUAUUAAAUUUCUUGUCUCAUUGCGCUGUCUGAAGGAUAUUUCUCAUGUUUUUGUUGAUUGGAGCCAAAUUUGUGCGUCAAUCUAAAGUUGGACCCUUAAAUGAUUCGGUUGAAAGAAAAUUACAUGCCACAUCGGAAGCCGGGAAGAGAAAAGCUGCCAAAAGUGUUGAAGAAUCCUUCCCAUCUACAAGAGAAGGACAUAAUGGCAAUGAUAAGGACAUAGAUGAUGACGACAGCGAUGGAGAAUCAGAAAACAGAACCAGUGCAUUUGCUAAGAAGAGAGCUGGUCCUCCAACUUCAUCUUUACAGGAAAGAAGAACACAACUACCUUGUAAGAUUAGGUGUAGAUUGAAUGUAAUUAUUCGCACUACCUUAUUCUAAAAUAUUUAUUUCACGUAAACUCGAUUUUUUUCUUUUUAGAUUUGAUAUUUAUAAGGAAUGUUGUUGGCCUCUUUAAGUACAUAUGCCAUAACUUUCUUUAUCAUUGCAUACCUUGACUGAUAAAUUAAAA
rnacentral:misc_RNA from 1 species